AACAGGAUAGCUCAGUUGGUUAGAGCAUGUUGCUGACAAUGCCAAGGUUGCAGGUUCAAUCCCUGACUGCUGUGU